GAUGAACGCUGGCGGCGUGCCUAAUACAUGCAAGUCGAGCGAAAGGACGAGAAGCUUGCUUCCCUGAUGUUAGCGGCGGACGGGUGAGUAACACGUGGAUAACCUACCUAUAAGACUGGGAUAACUUCGGGAAACCGGAGCUAAUACCGGAUAAUAUUUUGAACCGCAUGGUUCAAAAGUGAAAGAAGGUCUUGCUGUCACUUAUAGAUGGAUCCGCGCUGCAUUCGCUAGUUGGUAAGGUAACGGCUUACCAAGGCAACGAUGCGUAGCCGACCUGAGCGGGAGUUCGGCUAGACGGUAUGUGAGACAGGUUCCAGACUCCGACGGGGGGCAGCAGUAGGGAAUCUUCCGCAAUGGGCGAGAGCGUGACGGUGGAAAGUCGGGUGGGUGAUGAUGGUCUUAGGAUGGGAAAGCGAUGAUGGUAGGGAAGUACAUAAGUGUUAGUACCUGUGAGCAUCAUGACGGUACCUGGAGAAAAAGCCACGGCUAAGUACGUG
rnacentral:rRNA from 1 species